ensembl:lncRNA
GGCUGCUCUGGCUUCGAUGGGUGAACAAAGCUCAUUGUUUCAGAGGAGGAUUGAUGGGUGACACUGCCUCCAACACCAAGGGGAGAUUAGGGGUCUGUCCUUACAUCCUGGUAUUCAACACCCGGGUCGGCCCGCUGCAAAACAACAUCAAACGCCAUCCUAUUCCUUAUAUAGUGUUCUACUGUUGAAGAGGGCCGAUGGGGCACUUCCAUAGGGACUGGGGUUCCAUUUGGGAUGCAGGACACAUGUCCAGGUGCCCCACUGCAGCCAGGCUCCUCAGUCUUCAGCUCCCCAGGCCCCAGGCUCCUCAGUCUUCAGCUCCCCAGGCUCCUCAGUCUUCAGCUCCCCCGGCCCCAGGCACUCCUCAGUCUUCAACUCCCCAGGCCCCAGGCUCCUCAGUCUUCAGCUCCCCAGGCCCCAGGCUCCUCAGUCUUCAGCUCCCCAGGCCCCAGGCACUCCUCAGUCUUCAGCUCCCCAGGCUCCUCAGUCUUCAGCUCCCCAGGCCCCAGGCUCCUCAGUCUUCAGCUCCCCAGGCUCCUCAGUCUUCAGCUCCCCAGGCUCCUCAGUCUUCAGCUCCCCAGGCCCCAGGCUCCUCAGUCUUCAGCUCCCCAGGCCCCAGGCUCCUCAGUCUUCAGCUCCCCAGGCCCCAGGCACUUCAACAUGAACACAUUGUCC